rnacentral:rRNA from 1 species
GACAGAGGGGGCAAGCGUUGCUCGGAAUUACUGGGCGUAAAGGGCGCGUAGGCGGAAUGGCAAGUCGGUCGUGAAAUCCUUCGGCUCAACCGAAGAACGUCGAUCGAAACUGCCGUUCUUGAGGAUUGCAGAGGAGACUGGAAUUCCCGGUGUAGCGGUGAAAUGUGUAGAGAUCGGGAGGAACGACCGGUGGCGAAGGGCGGGUCUCUGGG